rnacentral:pre_miRNA from 1 species
GGGGGAGCGCAGGAUUCUGGGCUGUGUCCCUCGGCGCCCUGGGAUCCAGGGCCUGUGCUGCUGGAAUUGCGCUCCCGGGGUGCACAGCCUCCU